GAUCCCACUGUAUGGAAGUCAUCAGUGGCUAUUACAGGUAUAAAUAAUAAGAGAUGAAUAAUUGCAUUGUUGAAACUUAUUGUUUUGGUAAGUUUUAAACUAUUUGAAAUCACAUUAUGAUUCGCUGAAGUCCUUUUUAUUUCUCUCAAAUUUGUUUGUGCUGUGGAGAACAUGUUGUACAACAAGGACAUUAUUCGAAGUUCAAUGGGAUGCAGUAGCAUGUACUUGUAUAUACUCAUGAGAGUAUAGUUUAAGAUUUCCAAAAUCAACGACUAGA